GCCUAUAGUCCCACCUACUUGGUAGACUGAGGCAGGAGGAAUGUUUGAGCCCGGGAGUCUGGGGUUGCUGUGAGUGAGACUGAUGCCUGGGCACUCCUCUAGCCCAGGUAAAAGAAUGUGACUCUGUCUCAAAAAAAAAAAAAAAAUUGUUGAUGAAGAUGUAGAGAAAUUGGAACUCUCAUGCACUGGUAGAGGGACUGUACAAUGGUGUCACUGCUGUUUAAAAUACUAUGCUGGUUGCUCAGAAAAUUAAAGAUAAAUAUUAUGUGAUCCAGCAAUCCCACCUCUGGGUAUGUACCCAAAGGCAUUGAAAACACAAUCUCAAAGAGGUAUUUGUCCACUCACGGUCACAGCAGUGUUAUUCACAAGAGCCGAAAGGUGGAAGUAACCCAAGUGUUCACCAGUGAGGAAUGGAUGCACCAACUGUGGUCUGUCCACACAGCGGACUGUUAUUUUGCCUUAAAAAUGAAGCAGAGUGUUACGCACGCUACCACAUGGAUGAACCUGGAGGACGUGUGCUGAGUGAAUCAGCCAGUCGCAAAAGAUUGUGUAUGAAGCCCAGGAGGAAAGAGGGACCUUCAGGCUGUCGUGUCUUCCCCAGCAAAAGCAAGUUCGCAGCGACCACGUGGUCCUCUGUGUGUGGAGCAGCUGCCACCGGGCUCUUAGCAGCGCCCCUGCGUCAGGGUGAGAGCUGAGGCCCAGGGCUCCACCACGCUCCUGGUGAGCUACAAACUCGGCCAUGACCACCUGAGUGCCAGGGUCACCUUCGCUGCCUACCUGCCCCUCAAGCACGACCCUCCUGUGCCCAUGUUGGCCUCCAUAGACCUCAUCCUGGUGGAGGACGUGAAGGUGACUCUGGAAGAGGUGACCAUCUACAACUACUCUGGCAUCCAGGCGGAGCUGCACAUCAGAGAAGGCUCAGGAUACUCUUCCUCAGCACGAGCACUGCAGAGGUUGUCAAGGUGGCCUACCAGGAGGCCAGGGGAGUGAGUCGCCGUGAAACACAUAUCUCUACACAAAAUCAUGGAAACUAAAUACCUACUGCUGAAGGAUUAUUCAGUUAAGAAGGAAAUUAAGAUGGAAAUCAAAACAUUGUUUGAACUAAAUGAAAAGGGGGACUACAGUUAUCAAAAUCUGUGGGGCAUGGCUAAAGCAGUCCUCAGAGGAAAACUUAUAGCCAUACAUGCCUACAUCCAAAAGAUACAAAGAUCACAAUGUAAUGAAUUGUCUCAAAGAACUGGAAUAGGAUGAGCAAAGCAAU